rnacentral:rRNA from 1 species
CUAAUACAGCAUAAGACCACGGCUCCGAAAGGGGCUGAGGUCAAAGUCGGCCUCUAUUCAUAAGCUGACGCCAGGGGAUCGGCCUGCGGCCCAUCAGGUAGUUGGUAGGGUAACGGCCUACCAAGCCAAAGACGGGUAGCUGGUCUGAGAGGAUGAUCAGCCACACUGGAACUGAGACACGGUCCAGACUCCUACGGGAGGCAGCAGUGGGGAAUCUUGCGCAAUGGGCGAAAGCCUGACGCAGCGACGCCGCGUGGGUGAUGAAGGUUUUCGGAUUGUAAACUCCUGUUAAGUGGGAAGAAAGACUCAUACCUAAUACGUAUGGGGGAUGACGGUACCACUAGAGAAAGCACCGGCAAACUUCGUGCCAGCAGCCGCGGUAAUACGAAGGGUGCUAGCGUUAUUCGGAAUGACUGGGCGUAAAGAGCGUACAGGCGGUUUGUUAAGUCAACUGUUAAAUCACUCAGCUUAACUGGGUAUCUGCAGAUGAAACUGGC